UUUUUUUUACCAGGGAGACUAAUCUUUUGUGAGAGUGACCUUCGAGUCUUGCUUGAUUGUCAAGAGGAUCUACCUUCUUUUCUUUGGCUUCAUCAUUUGUGCCAGGAUUUCUUGCAACGCUUAGAUCCGAGACACUCGUUGAGAGGUCAUUGUUAACUCCAUACUUGAAUGUAUCAUUUGAGUCGGUUUCCUCUUCAAGUUCCCUCAUAGAGUCCUUCCAAUCAUUCAAGGCCUGCCUCAUUGAGUCUUCAGCUGCCUCCUUUCUUUUGAGCCUUUUGUGAGCUCCAUAUUUCUUGUAGCUGUCCUAUGGAGGUUGUCUUUGAGGUUUUCACUGUGACUCCUUUUCUUCAGGGAUUCAACACCUUUGUGAAUGAUUUUCUGAAAUCUAUGAGUGAGAUAUGCGAUUUCUAAUUCGUCAUCAUCACUUGACUCACUUCUUCCUUCAGCAUUCAGAUUCAUUCUCUUCUCUUCUUUGUUUGGUAGAGCAGCCAUGUGAACGAUCCUUUCUAGGUGUUAACCUUUUAGAAAGAAUCCGCUUUAAUACCAAUUGUUAUAAUGCUAUGCGUCCACCAAACAAUAUAUGAGGGACCUGGUUAUUUACCAGUUCCUUGAUGCAGUGCAGUAAGUAGAUAACACAAGAAAUUACCGUGGAAAACUCCUUGCUCAAGGGAUUAAAAACCACGACCUACCACGUAGGAUCUUAACUCCACUACACCGAGCAACUUCAUAUUACAACUCUUGCAAUCUAGGAAUUAACUCACAUAAUCCCUCCACCCUUACAGUAUCCCUACUGCAAGGAACUCUUGACUAUCUCUAGCCAAGCCACUAAUACACCUAGACUACCCCUAGCCUAGUGUACCACUCAAACGCUUGUGAAGAUUCACUUCCUACAAGCAGCCUUUGAGAGUUCAACACUGUUUGACUACCUCCAGCCAAACACACUAAUACACCUUGACUAACUCUAGCCAAGGGUACCACUCAAUAGAAUGAAGGUAAACUACCUACACAAAACUGAGAAUUUAAAGUACCUACGAAAGCUUCCUUUUGAGAAGAGUAGGUUUACAAAUUUAAGAACAAAUAAACAGAGACUUUAACACUCCUACGACUUAAUGCAGCUUCAGUUGUAGGAGAACAGGUCCUUGGAUUUGUUGAAGCUUUGUUCUUGAGCACACCUUGAUGUGUGGAGACUUGCACUUUUGGAUCUAAACAAUUUCUGGAUUUUGCAAGAAUCAAAACUUCACUUUAGCAUGAUGUUUGAAUAUGUAGAGGAAGAGUGAGGGUGACAGCCCAUAAAGCAACUCUGCUGCUAGCAUGGCUUACCAAACUGCUUGGCCUGUAAUAUGAGACAUUUAAUUACAUUAUCUUGAUAAUCCAAGCAUGUUUUGUAUAUGAAAGCAUUACUUUGUUUUUGAGUUUGCAUGUCAGAAUCUUAUAAAUGUGUAUUUUGUAUGUGCAUGUCCUUCAGCUAUCAAAUGGAGCAAAUGCCAAGUUGGAGUUGAAUCUACUACCAACCCCAAAAAGAGACUGAAUUUUAUGGAUGCAUAUGAAGCAACAAAAAUUGUUUUCCAAAGGAUUCAAAAUUUAGAUCCUGAAAAUGCCUCAAAAAUCAUGGGGAUUCUUCUGAUACAAGACCAUGGUAAGAAAGAAAUGAUCAGAUUAGCUUUUGGUCCAGAAGCUUUAGUUCACUCUGUGAUUCUUAAAGCAAGAAAAGAACUUAAAAAUGCCUUUCUGUUGGUCAUGCCAAACAAUGCAAAUACACAGCCUUUCUCUUUCAGUCUGUUUUCUGAUGCAUGGUGUUGUUUUGAAAAGUUGACUGUCUUCUAAUUCCUUAUCCCGUUUGCUUCUGUCUUCAGUUCUCGUUUCUCUUGCAAUCUUUCCAAUGAGACCAUGCUAAAAAAUGUUUGCAAGAAUACAUGGCCGGUGUGAUUAAUGUGAUUCUCCUUGUCAUCCAGGUUUCAGUAUCAAAAGUUUGAUUCAAACGUCUUAGGUCAGGCUAUCCAAAGAGGUUUUAAUCGUAGCAAGUUCCGAACAAAGUUACCUGAACCAAAAACUGUAAAUGAGCCAACAUUGCAAAAUUAUUGCAUUUUCUGCCUUCUAUUUUGGUCAUUUAUUUAGCUCAUAAGCAAGGCUGAUGUUUGUUGUCUUAUGGAUGAAGGGCGCUAAGCUCCAAUUUUCCAGCUGUUCCCAUUAGUGGUUUGCCCGUAUAACUGAAAUUCCCUCUCUGCAAUAAUUUCUUUUAAGGAUGCUGUGAUGAUACCUUGCUGCCAGCACAGUUUUGGUGAGAAAAUGUGAGUAGUAUCUGCAUAAUUGAGUAUAGUCCUUUCAUCUGUGUCUGCUUCCAUAAUGCAUUUGUUUCUUUUGAAAUUUGAGCAUCAUGUGUAUUACCUUUACUCUUUGCAUUUGUUAUUACUUACAGAAUCUCUUUUUUAGCAUCUUGUGUUCUUGGAUAAUAUUGAUUUGAGCAUUGAGAAUAUUCUUCUGCUUUUUCUGGGCGAAUGUAUCUUUAGGCAUCCAUCUAGCUCUUCUUAAAAAGGUGAUGUGAAAUGCCUUUCUAUCAGAUGUAGAGUGGAAGAUCUGCUACCAAAUUUAUCUCCCAGGCAAGCAAAUGGUUGUCGCUGAGUCAGAAAAUGCUUUACGCAAAUAUGCUCCAGAUGGUGAAUCUGAAAUUCAGGUGAGGGAUGUUUGUUGUGCGACGGGAAGCGGAGAUGCAUCAUUCACCCUCAGCUACUGGAAAAGGAUCCAAUCAAGCUAUGGAAGAAUCUUUUCAUGACUCACUUAUUAGGAAAAAAUCAUUGGCAAAGACAAUGUCAAAGUAUUAUUUCUGGAUAGGCUUCAUUGACAAGCUUAAACCGAAUAGCUUAUGUACUGACAUUUUAGCUGUGUCGCUAGCUAAUUGAUGCAAGAAUGCAGCUGGUGUGUCGAUGAAGAAUGGAGCUAGUGUGUCACUGACAUGGCUCAAGCUUAGUUAGUUAGCUUUUCCAAAAAGUAGUUAGUCAGUUCCAAAAGUUAGUUACAAGUUCCACUAGUUAGUUACAGUUGCCACAUCCAGUUCAUUCAUUGUAAUUAGAUUAGUUGGAGAUUAGCUCAUGUAAGAGAUUCAUAUAUUCCAUGUAAAGUGUACAAUUGAUUCAUUCAUGGUCAUAAAAAAUAUCUUCUCUCUCUCUA